rnacentral:lncRNA from 1 species
GGAUCUAGGAUUUUAAUUGUGGGGGUACGAACGAAAACAAUAUAAUUCAUCAAUAUGAACAUAAUAUAAUUAGAUCACUAAACGGUGAUAAAAUAGUUGUGAAUGUAAAGUGUUAAGGUUGUUAUAUGAGCUGAGCAGAUUAGCAAUUAUAUACAACAAUGUAUUAUAUAUGUAUAAAUUAUUAAAGGGUAUAUAUACUAGAUGUUUUUUUAAAAAA